ACUAUGUGUAUUGCUGCUGCUUCUGCUGCACUUUGUUGGUUUGUUCUUACUCAAUCUUAAAAUGUUAUGACAUUUAAAAUCAUGUUUCUCUUUAAAAUCUCCUUCGUAAUGACAUUGGUGGAAAUAAGUGGAGCCGAGAUUGCGCAUGUUCGGGCAUGACUGAGAGCUGAGGGAGGAAAGGAGGAGCCUCAGAAGAAGCAAAGCUUGAGUGGCUGGGUGCAGAAAGACAUUCAGAAGAAGACAUAGAGACUACAUGGACAUUAUCAUCUCUUAAAAGUUUAAAGAAGAAACUACAGAAGAGCAUGGAGAUAUUGUAGGAAGUAAAUGGAGAUUUUGCAGUGCCUCCUUCCCCUUGCACCAGCACUACCAUCAGCGCUGCUGGAGAAGGGGCUUUGAAAUGGGAAGUGUGUACAUCAAGAGCCAUAAUGAAGAGAAAGAUGUGAAAAGGAGCUAUCAACCUAUUGAAAUCAGAGCAAUCAUAUAAUCCUUCCAAACUUCGGAGAGUGAAAAGGGAUACUAUCAAUAUUUACAGAGGAAUGAAGAACUUAAACUGACCAGGACUCUUCAAGAAACCAGAAUGUAUGUCCAUCCUAAUUAAAAUCCUCUGUAGCAAGAAGUCUUAACCAACAUGGGCAGGAAGAAGAGCUUUAAAAACAAAUAUGCUGGUUGACAAUUUUCUCUCAGCUCUUUUAUGUCUGAAGUAGUUUUCUAUGGAAAUUUAUGGUUUUAUAUCAAUUAUCUGGUUAACAGCCAGAAUAUCUGACAAAAUAUCUGGAGGAUUAUUUUGUUCAUCACAUAUAUUUCUUCCAUAUUCUCCAGGAGAGAAUAUCCAAGAAAUAUCUAGGGAUUCAAAAAAAAAGUAAGUCAUAAAUUACUGAGAACUUAUUUUUUUCUUGGUAUCAGAAUAUUAAGUGUCAGAAAACAGCUUUUUUUGUGUGUGUGAGGAAAAAUUGCCCUACAAAC